rnacentral:rRNA from 1 species
GAUGAACGCUGGCGGCGUGCCUAACACAUGCAAGUCGAGCGAUUCUCUUCGGAGAAGAGCGGCGGACGGGUGAGUAACGCGUGGGUAACCUGCCUUGUACACACGGAUAACAUACCGAAAGGUAUGCUAAUACGAGAUAAUAUACUUUUAUCGCAUGGUAGAAGUAUCAAAGCCUUUGCGGUACAGGAUGGACCCGCGUCUGAUUAGCUAGUUGGUAAGGUAACGGCUUACCAAGGCGACGAUCAGUAGCCGACCUGAGAGGGUGAUCGGCCACAUUGGAACUGAGACACGGUCCAAACUCCUACGGGAGGCAGCAGUGGGGAAUAUUGCACAAUGGGCGAAAGCCUGAUGCAGCAACGCCGCGUGAGCGAUGAAGGCCUUCGGGUCGUAAAGCUCUGUCCUCAAGGAAGAUAAUGACGGUACUUGAGGAGGAAGCCCCGGCUAACUACGUGCCAGCCGCCGCAGUAACAC